UACGAAGGGGGCUAGCGUUGCUCGGAAUCACUGGGCGUAAAGCGCACGUAGGCGGCUUUUUAAGUCAGGGGUGAAAUCCUGGAGCUCAACUCCAGAACUGCCUUUGAUACUGAGAAGCUUGAGUCUGGGAGAGGUGAGUGGAACUGCGAGUGAAGAGGUGAAAUUCGUAGAUAUUCGCAAGAACACCAGUGGCGAAGGCGGCUCACUGGCCCGGUACUGACGCUGAGGUGCGAAAGCGUGGGGAGCAAACAGG
rnacentral:rRNA from 1 species